rnacentral:rRNA from 1 species
ACGAGUGGCGGACGGGUGAGUAACGCGUAGGAAUCUGCCCAAUAGUGGGGGGACAAACCCGGAGAAAUCCGGGCUAAUACCGCAUACGCCCUACGGGGGAAAGGAGGGGAUCUCUUUGGAGACCUUUCGCUAUUGGAUGAGCCUGCGUCGGAUUAGCUUGUUGGUAGGGUAACGGCCUACCAAGGCGACGAUCCGUAGCUGGUCUGAGAGGACAAUCAGCCACACUGGGACUGAGACACGGCCCAG